rnacentral:rRNA from 1 species
UACAGAGGGGGCAAGCGUUAUUCGAAAUUAUUGGGCGUAAAGGGCGCGUAGGCGGCGAUUCAAGUGACGGGUGAAAUCCCUCGGCUUAACCGAGGAACUGCCUGUCAGACUGGAUUGCUUGAGGCCGGGAGAGGCGAGUGGAAUUCCUGGUGUAGCGGUGAAAUGCGCAGAUAUCAGGAGGAACACCGAUGGCGAAGGCAGCUCGCUGGGACGGUACUGACGCUGAGGCGCGAAAGCGUGGGGAGCAAACAGG